rnacentral:rRNA from 1 species
UACAUGGGGGUGCAAACGUUGCUCGGAAUUAUUGGGCGUAAAGCGCACGUAGGCGGUUCGUUAAGUCGGAUGUGAAAGCCCCUCGGCUCAACUGAGGAAGUGCCACCCGAAACUGGCGAGCUUGAGUACGAAAAGAGGAUCGCGGAAUUCCCGGUGUAGAGGUGAAAUUCGUAGAUAUCGGGAGGAACACCGGUGGCGAAGGCGGCACCCUGGACCAGCACUGACACUGAGGCACGAAAGCGUGGGGGAGCAAACAGGG